CACGUAGGGAGCAAGCGUUGUCCGGAUUUAUUGGGCGUAAAGAGCUCGUAGGUGGUUCGGUAAGUCAGGUGUGAAACCUCCAGGCUCAACCUGGAGACGCCACUUGAUACUGCUGUGACUGGAGUCCGGUAGGGGAGCGUGGAAUUCCCGGUGUAGCGGUGAAAUGCGCAGAUAUCAGGAGGAACACCAGCGGCGAAGGCGGCGCUCUGGGCCGGUACUGACACUGAGGAGCGAAAGCGUGGGUAGCAAACAGG
rnacentral:rRNA from 1 species